UUAUGCCACGUCGCUCCUGCAGGGCAACGAUCAGCAUUUGUCACAGGACAGUCAAGAGGUUUUUUUCUUUUCUUUUCUUUUCUUAUUUUGACAGAUUAACUUUUCUGUCUUUCUUUCUUUUUUAUUUACGAAAACAAUAUGGGAAUGAGACCCCAAGACACGCACGAAAACACGAGAGGAACACAGAGUCAAAUGAUGUAGCGAUGAAGAUUAUAUCGAUUUUUUAUACAUGGCUAUCGUUCUUUCUAAUAGAUAUACAGAAUAUAUGUAUAAACCUGAAUAAAAACAAAUUGCUUGGCUUUUCACUGAAGAGUAAAAAAAAAACAUAAAAAAGAAAGAAAAAUAUAAAAGGGAAAAUGAAGUAAGACGGAUAAAAAAUACAGUGGAGGGAUAAUUGGCAACUGUAACCUUGAAGCUUAAUAACAGGUGUAUUACCCGAUUUUUUAUUUUAUUUUUUUUUAUCCCUUUUUUCUGUAUCUGUCCUUUUUGGCCCCUCCCUCUUCCUGUAUAUAAGGGGCAAACAUCUAUCCGUCUGGUUAGUUUUCCCUUCAGGAGUAAACAUAGAAGUGGUAUAAUGAAGUGGUUUGUAGGCUUCUUGCUUUUGUCAUGUCUUUUGGCGGCAACGGAAGCACAGCGGCAAGUCAUCCGUGAAAAUGGAAAUCGACGAGCGUCUCCGCCCCUCCCAGCACGCCCACCUUGUCACUGCUUCAACCCACCCUGCCCUGGCUGUGACACGCCCAUAUUACCCAUCCUUACCAUUAGGUUCAAGCGUUAAGAACACAUGAACUUUGGAACUUAAUGGGACGAGGUCUGGCGACGCUCACUAUUCUGAACUUUUGUUUUGCAGGAAUUGAUAAUUGAUUUUUUGUUGAGCGCGCGCGCGCGUGUGUGUGUGUGUGUGUGUGUGUGUGUGUGUGUGUGUGUGUGUGUGUGUGUGUGUGUGUGUGUGUGUGUGAACUUUGGAUAAAUUGACCUUUGUUUAUCAUAUGUCUUAUUAAAAGCUUCUUUGGACUUUUUUGUUAAUAUAUCUGUGUGUGUUACCGAGAACACCUAAUUUUAUCAUCUGUUUAUAUUCUUUUAUAUUUAUAUGUCUGAUUAAAACAACCCUUAUCCACUGGAAUUAAGGCUUUGUUCAAUCUACACAGAAUAUCCAUUGAGUGAAGAAUGUUGUCAAUUAUUUACCAAAGCAUAUUACAUCGGGCACUAAAUAAAAACGAG